rnacentral:rRNA from 1 species
AUUGAACGCUGGCGGCAGGCUUAACACAUGCAAGUCGAACGAGCGGCGGACGGGUGAGUAAUGUCUGGGAAACUGCCUGAUGGAGGGGGAUAACUACUGGAAACGGUAGCUAAUACCGCAUACCAUCAGCUGUGCCCAGAUGGGAUUAGCUAGUAGUUGGGGUAAUGGCUCACCUAGGCGACGAUCCCUAGCUGGUCUGAGAGGAUGACCAGCCAAACUGGAACUGAGAAACGGUCCAGACUCCGACGGGAGGCAGAAGUGGGGAAUAUGGCACAAUGGGCGAAAGCCGGAUGCAGCACGGCCGCGUGGGUGAAGAAGGCCUUCGGGUUGUAAAGCACUUUCAGCGAGGAGGCGGUACUCGCAGAAGAAGCACCGGCUAACUCCGUGCCAGCAGCCGCGGUAAUAC